UCUCCCGCCUCCUUUUCCCGCCGACUGAGGGGGCGGGGACAGGGCCGGGAAGGGCACAUGCGCAGUGGCAGCGACUAAGGUUUAGUGAGGCGGCACCGCGCGGCGCUAGGCGGGUCUUGAGGCUCUCGUUUUUCCCGCUCGUUUUCCGGGGAUCCCCCGCGGUGGGACAGUGAGCAGUUCAGGGCGCCGCAGCCGAGGCCUUCCUCCAGAGACAGGGUUUCACCAGGCUGCUCUCGAACUCCUGACCUCAGGUGCUUCACCCACCUUGGCCUCCCAAAGUGCUGGAAUUACAGGCAUGAGCCACCGCACCCUCUGAUUUUUUACAUUUUUUAGCUGGUUGGGAAAAAAAAAAAUACCAAAAGAAGAAUAUCUCUUGAUGUGAAAAUGGUGUGAAAUUUACAUUUCAGUGUCUGUAAAUAAAGUUUCAUUUGAAAACA